rnacentral:rRNA from 1 species
UACGGAGGGUGCAAGCGUUGUUCGGAAUCAUUGGGCGUAAAGAGUUCGUAGGCGGUAUGUAAAGUCCGGUGUUAAAUCCCGAAGCUCAACUUCGGCAUGGCACUGGAUACUUGCAAACUAGAAUGCGGUAGAGGUAAAGGGAAUUCCUGGUGUAGCGGUGAAAUGCGUAGAUAUCAGGAGGAACAUCGGUGGCGAAAGCGCUUUACCGGGCCGUAAUUGACGCUGAGGAACGAAAGCCGGGGUAGCAAAU